UUUAUAAAAUAAAAAAUAUAUGAACUGAACGAAGAAAAACACAGCAAGUCUGGUCAUAUAAGACGAUGUCGUUUAAAAAACCUAAACCAGUCAAAGCAAGAGAAAACCAAGUUCUGUCUUUCAGUUAAUGCAACGGUCGAUUUUUUUUUUUUUUUAAUAAAUCCAGCCUCUCUCUCUCUUAAAAUCUCAACAUUUUUCAAUUUCAAGAGAAAACCUCUCUCUCUCUCUCUCUCUCUCUCGCUCUAGUAAGUAGAAGAAAAGAAUUUGUACACUUUUAGCCGUUCAAAUUCUAUGUAAUAAGGUUUGAUUCUUCUUGUAUGGAAUUUCAAUUUCGAUCAAAGAGAGAGUCUUCAUCAGGUACCCAUCUCUCAAUCUCCUGCUUUAAAUAUAUAAUUCUUCAUCAGGUACCCAUCUCUCCAUCUCCUGCUAUAAAUAUAUAAUUUGUUCUUCUUCUCUGUGAAUUUUGCUUUAUUCUGGUUAGUCCUUGAUGGGUCUUUAAUUCUUUCUGAUUUUUGUGAUUAUGUUAUAGUAAUUUUUAUGUAAACUUUGCUACGUUUCCUAGUUUGAUGUGUUUUUAAUUUUAUGUUCAUUGUAAAUUAUGAUUUCUUGAAUUUUUAAAGGGAUUGGAUAAUUUCCAGAGUUAAAGUUUGUAUCUUUUAGAUUUCAAGGUGAGUGUUUUCUUUUAUUUACUUCUUAAAGAAUUAGGAUUUAGAGAACAAGAAGCCUUUUGAUUGAUUGGGUUUUACUUUGUCGUUUAAGAUUUUAAUUUCACUUUAUAUUUAAUCGGUUAUAAAUCUUUGAAAUUGGUUUCUCCUAUUCUUUCAAAAAAAUCGAACUCGAAUUUUUGUUUAUGUUUUCAAGCUCUGUCCAUGGCUGGCAAAUGAAUUCCCUAUUAACGUUUCCCUCUUGCUCUUGAUGCAGGUUAAAAGACCUAAUUUUAUGUUCAUUGUAUAUUAUGAUUUCUUGAAUUUAGUAAGGGAUUGGAGAAUUUUCAGAGUUAAAGUUUGUAUCUUUUAGAUUUCAAGGGCCAGGGAUGUGAUAUGAUAUUUCUGAAAGACUUGUAUUUGGAAUUGAUUUUUUACAAAUACAUGAUUGAAUAUACUGGUGAACUUGUCAAACCUCCAAUAGAUCAUGGGAGAAAGCGCACUAUAUACAAUUCAUUGGUGGUGCGUUUCUGUUGAGAAUGUUGCUGCUGUCCUUACUCUUUGUAUGCAUGUAUUUGUCAUCUAGCACAACUACAAACUAUCAUCCUGAAACUAAUGUGAUUAUUUCUGAAAGAGCUGAUUGCUGACUGUGUCGAAGUCCUCUACAAAGCUGUUGAGAUCGAAGUUUACCUCUUCUUUUCCUUGUUAAUGUAAGGCGUGCUGGGACUUGUAUGUUUAGAUCAAACUUUUAUUAAUCAUAAGGGUUGGAAGUAUUGCUCAUCUGAUUAAUCAUCACUCGUGUGGGGGUGUGGUAUCAUCUGUUCAUCCUGUUUAUGAUUAAGUUUUGACACGUAAAUUUCAUCCAACUUUAUAGCAUUUUUCCCUCUUUAACUUUUCAAA